AAAUAGACACGAUUUUCUGUGUACUUUUAUCGAUUUUCACGUUAUAAUUGAAUGCAGCUCGAUAGGGAUUCAACGCAACAUUUCUAUAUUGUUCAUUUCGAUUACAUCGAUUCUGUUCAACUUCAUUCCGUGCUUAGCGUUUCUCGUCAAUUUGACUUGCUGUUGUAUAUCUUUGACUCACAGCAUUGCAAGUUCUGCGACUUAAGUUUGUACGUCUAAUUGCUGGCAUUUUCAAAAACGAAAAUUCAACUGUAAAUUAAAGAAAACUAUUAUAUUCUUCUUUAUGACCAAGUAUAUCACUUAGUAACGUGUUAGUCCAU